rnacentral:rRNA from 1 species
AGUGAACGCUGGCGGCGUGCUUAACACAUGCAAGUCGAACGAGAACGGGUUAUAGCUUGCUAUAAUUGUCAGCUAAGUGGCGCACGGGUGAGUAAUGUAUAGGUAAUAUGCCUCUUACUAAGGGAUAACAAAUGGAAACGUUUGCUAAUACCUUAUACUCCUUAUUAACAUAAGUUAAUAAGGGAAAGAUUUAUUGGUAAGAGAUUAGCCUGUAUUGUAUCAGUUAGUUGGUGGGGUAAUGGCUUACCAAGACUAUGACACAUAACUGGUUUGAGAGGAUGAUCAGUCACACUGGAACUGAGACACGGUCCAGACUCCUACGGGAGGCAGCAGUGGGGAAUAUUGCACAAUGGACGAAAGUCUGAUGCAGCAACGCCGCGUGGAGGAUGACACAUUUCGGUGCGUAAACUCCUUUUAUAUGAGAAGAUAAUGACGGUAUUAUAUGAAUAAGCACCGGCUAACUCCGUGCCAGCCGCCGCAGUAA